rnacentral:lncRNA from 7 species
AGAGGGCUCAGCACCCACAUCAGCACACUGCUCAGGAGCUACGGAUGACAAUGGUCUCACAUACACAGCCCGGCGAUAAGGCAAGGUCUACAACGUGUUGAUGUUGAUGUGAGAUGAGGAUGCUCAGCACUUCAGAAAACGAGGCCCUAAGCAAAAGAGGGGAGGGCACUCAGGCCUUUUCAGCAGGCUCUGGGAGCAGAGCUCACCUUGUCACACCUGGCGGCAGAGAGCUGCACAUCAGCUGCUCAUUCACACCCCCCUAGUAGCAGAUGGGAAGAAACAGCACCCGCAGGCUCUGGUUCAUCCUAACUAUCUCAGAUAUUUAGGAGAAGGUGAAUUGUACUCUUAGUACCUUGUGCUAUGAUUUUAGAAUGCGACAGAGAUCCACGCAGUGAAGCUUGGUGCAGUGAUAUGAAACUCUCUCAGUGAUUUUCAAAAUAUGCAACCCAUAAAUCAUUCACCUUAACCCGGACCUGAAUUUGCAUAAAACCAGAGUCGAUCAUCUCAAAAGGUAAUUUACUCAAAGCCCAAACAAUCCCAGCUGUGUGAAGCACAUAACAAAGUUAUGAAGGUAGGAUUCACAUGGCUUCAGGGUUUGUAAUGGAUGCUUUGCACAGCUGUAAUGAUGAGUGGGUGAGGAUAGUUAAGAAUGAAUGAAGUGUGGGUGGUGGAAAUAUUCACUGGGCAUGUCACGGCCAGAGGAGGAAACACAGGGGCCUCCCAGCCUCCAGGAUGGAAAGGACGUCAAGGCUCCAUGGACAGGGGUCCUACUUAUUUAUUUAUUUCAGCCCUGACACAUUCUCAUUAGGAAGGCAAAAAUGUGAAAUCGAUAGUUUCUCUUGAAUGCAGGAAGCCGACUGUGGCUGCGCAGCAGAGCUGUCUUAUAAUCUGCUUCCAAACGUGUGGGUGCCUCUUGGGUUUCCUCAGAGAUUUUAUGGACCGGUUUCAAAGUUUUCUGUAAAUUCAGGCCAACAAUGUCUGCAUCCCCUACCACAUCAGUCAAAAAUCAGACUGUGCUUCAGAGUCAUGUAAAUUCCUUCUAUAAGAAACAUUUACAUUUUACAAAAUGAAAACUGAGCAGACUACUUCACGAGGUGAAUUCACCCCUGGUUUGUCUCCCUUGUUACAGUGCAGUUACCGCAGGGAUGGGUUGACUAAUAGGUUACCAUUAACAAACAGAAAAAUGAGUAGCACGUAUAACCGAACAUUACAAAGGUUUCGCCCAGGAUUGCCAUGGCACAUGAUAAGAUGGCACAUUGAUAAGAUACUUCAUUCUUACCGUUCCUGAAUUUUCAUGAGACCUUAUCUGUAACUCCGCAAAACCCGAAGCCCGGUUUAUAUUUCUUUAUGGCAUUAUUAUAGGGCACUGUAAGUGUAAUAAAACAAUCUGCUAACUG